GUCAGGUUGGCCGAGCGGUCUAAGGCGCCAGACUUAAGUUCUGGUCCACAAGAGUGGGCGUGGGUUCAAAUCCCACACCUGACA
rnacentral:tRNA from 1 species